UAUGAUGAACAAAUUGUGAAAAAUUGUCAUUAAAGGACAAUAACCCCUUAAGGGGUCAAUUGAUAAUUUUGGUCAUAUUAACUUAUUUGUAGAUCUUACAUGCUGAUCAUUUUUGCUGUUUACAGUUUAUCUUUAUCUAUAAUAAUUUUCAAGAUAAUGACCAAAAACUGCAAAAUUUCCUUAAAAUUACCAAUUAAGUGGCAGCAACCCAACAAUGGGUUGUUUG
rnacentral:lncRNA from 1 species